UGCUAGGAUUCAGGGACUCUUCCUGGAAUCUGCUUCAUUUCUCCUGGGACCAGCUGUGUCCCCUUCCUGGCCUGGCUGCUCUCAGAUGCACUAGGAAGUGCUCAAGGUUGUUCUUGGACCUCGAAUGUUAAAUGUGCAGCCUCUCAGCUCCCCUGCCCUUCUCCAUGUCCUGUAUCUCAGGAUGGGUCUGCUUACAGUCACAGAUAUUCAUCUCCUGAAAUACUAAAAGACUUAGUGAAGCCUCGCAGCAAGAAAUGAUGUGCAGGAGUUUCUCUCAAAUACCAUCAGCAUGUUUGACAUUUCUGACUGCUCAGAGGUAGUGUCU
rnacentral:lncRNA from 1 species